rnacentral:misc_RNA from 1 species
CGAAUCGAGACGGAUCCAAAUCCAAUAAAAAAAUACAUCAACCAUUUUCUGUGAAAGGGGGACAAAUAGCAGAAUUUCAUUCCAAAGGGGGAUCCUUCUUAUUUAUAUUUUCGUUUUUCAUUUCUCACAAAUACAAAUAUGGGAAUUUUCAUUUCUUCAACUAGUACCGAUUGAUAGAGACAUAUGUGGAUUAGUCAAAUUAUUGGUAGCGUCAUAUUCAGGAUUCCAAGAGAUACCGUACUGAGUUUGGCUUUUUCGAUUACUCCCGACCCGUGUAAUGAAAUCGAAUCGAGUACCAUAUCUUUCCCG